rnacentral:lncRNA from 1 species
AUUUCUACGCAUGAAGUCCAUUCUUACGUUCUAUCAGCUUUAAUCGAUUUUUCUGUUCACCAUUUUUCACCUGUAUUGAAGCUUCCAAUUGAUCUGAAAAUGUUCUUCAUUUCAACAACACGUCUAAUGGUUUGAAGUUUUACGUCGGUCGAUAUCACUCAUUUAAUCAUUCAACGAUCUUCUAACCUGCCAUUUAAUUGUAGCUUAAGUUCAGUAGAGUCAUGAAACCCAGUGAAAUGACUAAUUAUUGGAAGAACAAGAACUUGUACACCAGUUACUUCCAGUUCAACAUCUGCCGUCUCUGUGCCACCGAAUGUGACUCUCUGACUCCAAUUUUUGGAAACUGUAAUGUUAAUGAGAGACUUGACCUGAAAAUAAAGAAAUACCUCCCAGUCAUUAUGGUCCAAGAAGAUGACAUUAAGCCGAAGCAGAUAUGUGCAUCUUGCAUUUCAAAAUUAAAUCUUUGCUCAGGGCUCAUAGACUCAUGCAUAGCAGCUGACCAGAAAUUUGAGGUAUUGAUCCAAAAAGCCUAUAGCUCGACAUCCUGUUAUCCCAUGCAGAUUCAGGAUGUGAAUUUUCCAAGUCAACCUGCAUGGGAUAUGGAAACAAGCACAAAAUCAGAAGAAAAAACUGAUGUUUUGUUAAUUGAAAACUUGGAAAGUAUGAACAAAACACCAGAACAAGAAUAUGUAGUCAUGGUUGAGCUUAAAUAUAAGGAUAAUUUUCCCCAAGGGGGUAGUAACUUCAGUGAAGGAAAUGUAAUUCCUGACAACAAUGUGGAGACUAUUGUCACUUACGUAACGAGUGACAAGGGCUUAGGUGCAGAUAAUGGCAAUACGUCUCUUCCGAUUGAUAACUGUUCUCUAGCCAUCAAUUCGGAAUCAGAGUUGGAAACAGAUUCAUCCAAACUUGAUCUAGUCAUUAAAAUGAUUUUGAACCAACGUACUGUAAUCUAG